rnacentral:rRNA from 1 species
GUUGCGGACAGUGUCUGGUGGGUAGUUUGACUGGGGCGGUCUCCUCCUAAAGAGUAACGGAGGAGCACGAAGGUUGGCUAAUCCUGGUCGGACAUCAGGAGGUUAGUGCAAUGGCAUAAGCCAGCUUGACUGCGAGCGUGACGGCGCGAGCAGGUGCGAAAGCAGGUCAUAGUGAUCCGGUGGUUCUGAAUGGAAGGGCCAUCGCUCAACGGAUAAAAGGUACUCCGGGGAUAACAGGCUGAUACCGCCCAAGAGUUCAUAUCGACGGCGGUGUUUGGCACCUCGAUGUCGGCUCAUCACAUCCUGGGGCUGAAGUAGGUCCCAAGGGUAUGGCUGUUCGCCAUUUAAAGUGGUACGCGAGCUGGGUUUAGAACGUCGUGAGACAGUUCGGUCCCUAUCUGCCGUGGGCGCUGGAGAACUGAGGGGGGCUGCUCCUAGUACGAGAGGACCGGAGUGGACGCAUCACUGGUGUUCGGGUUGUCAUGCCAAUGGCACUGCCCGGUAGCUAAAUGCGGAAGAGAUAAGUGCUGAAAGCAUCUAAGCACGAAACUUGCCCCGAGAUGAGUUCUCCCUGACUCCUUGAGAGUCCUGAAGGAACGUUGAAGACGACGACGUUGAUAGGCCGGGUGUGUAAGCGCAGCGAUGCGUUGAGCUAACCGGUACUAAUGAACCGUGAGGCUUAACCUU